UAUACAAAAAGAAGAAAGAAAUCCAGACAAGUAUGUGGACAAAGAGAAACCUUUAUGAAACUGGAAAUAAAGUGGAAUGAAAUGGACAGGGACAGAGACAACCAAGUUGCUGAUGCGGUCAUCAUCAUAACCAAGCCCCACAGACCAGAGUUUACUCAACAACAA
rnacentral:lncRNA from 1 species